UACGUAGGUGGCAAGCGUUGUCCGGAUUUACUGGGCGUAAAGGGAGCGUAGGUGGAUAUUUAAGUGGGAUGUGAAAUACUCGGGCUUAACCUGAGUGCUGCAUUCCAAACUGGAUAUCUAGAGUGCAGGAGAGGAAAGUAGAAUUCCUAGUGUAGCGGUGAAAUGCGUAGAGAUUAGGAAGAAUACCAGUGGCGAAGGCGACUUUCUGGACUGUAACUGACAAUGAGGCUCGAAAGCGUGGGGAGCAAACAGG
rnacentral:rRNA from 1 species